GGGAUAAGAAGAGGGGAAGUAGCAGCCAUUUAGCAGCUCCUAAUGCUAUCUCUUUUCUGCUGGCUCACUUCGUUAGUCCUGCCACUGCUCCGCCUUCCUCUGAAUCCUCCUUCCUCCUGGGCCAGGUUUGAGCAUCAUGCAAAGACAACACCCUGAUGGAGACUGUUUCAUCUCCCCGGAUUACAUAAGAUCAAAUCCAGAUACAAGUUCCUUCAGAGAUAUUCACCUAUCACCUGCUUCUCUGCAGGGAGGAAUCAGCCUGAGAAGGAGGUCAACACAGAGUCACACUGAGCAGGGAAAAGGAAUAGAGACACACUUCUAGUGUGGUCAUCUGAGCACCUGGAUCCAACUACAUCUGAAGUUAAACACAUCUGGACUUUUUAGUGUACCAGUUAGCCAAGAGCAAUGUCUUACGAGGCAGAAUGGAAGGAGUUCUGCCUCUGGCCGGUCAAGGAAGACCGUCUUAAUUUUGGUCGAAGGCAGCUUCCUUAUAUUGCCAUCUGACAGUCCUCAUUCUGCCCUCUAUGGUCACAGUGUAAAAUCUCCCACCAUGGACAAUUUCAAGCCACCAAUGUGAUUUCAACCAAAAUUCCUGAAAAAUUCACCGAUCAGCUCUUGCCAGCUGCUAGCAGAGAGCUCCAGCACACCACUGCAGCCGACACCCCAGCUCCCAGGAUAGAUUUGUUGAAUAAGUGGAAGAAUUAAUGAAAUUAGUCCCACAGAAUUAGCUUUCCCUAUCUGUGCCUAUCCAUGGCAUACUCUCCAUCUGUCAGAUUUUUUUUUUUUUAAAAAGCAAACUAGGAUAUUUUCAUUAAGCACAAUGUAUUCAGUAUAAAAUAAACUUGUAUACAGAAUAGAAACAGACCCAUAAACAUAGAAAACAAACUUACGGCUACCAAAGGGGAAAAGUGGGGAGGGAUAAAUCAGG